CAGUCGCCGCGGUAAUACGAAGGGGGCUAGCGUUGCUCGGAAUUACUGGGCGUAAAGGGAGCGUAGGCGGACAUUUAAGUCAGGGGUGAAAUCCCAGAGCUCAACUCUGGAACUGCCUUUGAUACUGGGUGUCUUGAGUGUGAUAGAGGUAUGUGGAACUCCGAGUGUAGAGGUGAAAUUCGUAGAUAUUCGGAAGAACACCAGUGGCGAAGGCGGCUCACUGGUCCGGAACUGACGCUGAGGCACGACAGCGUGGGGAGCAAACAGGAUUAGAUACCCCUGUAGUCCCUGUCUCUUAUAC
rnacentral:rRNA from 1 species